rnacentral:rRNA from 1 species
UACGGAGGGAGCUAGCGUUGUUCGGAAUUACUGGGCGUAAAGCGCGCGUAGGCGGCUUUGUAAGUCAGAGGUGAAAUCCCGGAGCUCAACUCCGGAACUGCCUUUGAGACUGCAUCGCUUGAAUCCGGGAGAGGUGAGUGGAAUUCCGAGUGUAGAGGUGAAAUUCGUAGAUAUUGGGAAGAACACCAGUGGCGAAGGCGGCUAACU